CAGAUAUGAAUGAUUUAUUUUGACUCUGCCAUGAAAGAUGAGGAAUUCAACAUACACAGUAAUACUUUUCCCUGUCAACUUUGACAAGAAAGGUGAUAUUCCUUCAAGGGCAAUGCACGAAGCAAGAUUCAUGAAAAAAAUCAAGAAACACCCAAGGUUACUGAGGAAGAGCAGGACCCUGGUCCAGCUAUGGACACACAACCGGAAGCCGCGGACUUGGAACAACAAACUCCAAAUACUACAGGGAA